AAUCAACGCUGGCGGCGUGCCUCAGACAUGCAAGUCGAACGCGAAAGUCCCCUUCGGGGGACAAGUAGAGUGGCGCACGGGUGAGUAACACGUAGGUAAUCUACCUUCGGAUGGGGAAUAACAACCGGAAACGGUUGCUAAUACCGCAUAAUGCAGCGGCACCUAAUGGUGACAGUUGUUAAAGCGGGGGAUCGAAAGACCUCGCGUCUGAAGAGGAGCCUGCGGCGGAUUAGCUAGNGGUAAGGUAAUGGCUUACCAAGGCGACGAUCCGUAGCCGGCCUGAGAGGGGCGGUCGGCCACACUGACACUGACAUACGGGU
rnacentral:rRNA from 1 species